AGAAAGUCUGCGUAGUCUCGAACUCUAAGACGGCCAUGGUUUGUAAUUCUGAAAUAGGUGUCUAGAGAUGCGCAGAUAACGGAUUGCAAGAAGCUGCAAAGCCACCAUACUCUUAGAAGCCAAGGGAACUUGGCAUUCUGGUCAUGCAGGACCCUGUAUACUACAAUCACUGUAAUUACUGAUGAUCCUAGUUGCAUGAUCUGAGAUGAAAGGGCAAAAAGUUUAGAGUCGCAACGGGUCUCCUGACCAUUUAGCAGCAUCAGGAGCGCUAAUAAGUGUAAUCCCAGCAGCAAAAUGGAGCAAACGAUGGUGGCUUU
rnacentral:misc_RNA from 1 species